AAAACACGACAAUGUUUCCAAACGCUUCCUGAAUAUUUCUCAAACCAUCGCGUAAAACAUGCAGCGCACCCUGCCCAAACCCAAUGAAUCAAGUAUAAAAUAAACAACACGUAGGUAUUUAAUUCAUUCAUCGUUUUGUUCUUCACUUGGAGCAACUCUUAAACCUCACUGUUCAACAUCCCUCCUGCAAUUCAAUUCAUUCAUCGUUUUGUUCCAUGUAAUCAUAGUAAAUGAGGUCCUUAAGAGGUGGACUAAUACACCAUGUCCGAUCCAUGAAGUCCGGUUUUACACUACCAAUAUUAACCUCUAAUCAACUCAUUCACUUGUACUCCAAACACUGCCUGAUAAAUGAAGCCCAGAAACUGUUCGAUGAAAUGCCUCGGAGAAAUAUUUACUCUUGGAACACAAUUAUAUCUGCCCACGUAAAAUCCCAAAACUUAGCACAAGCAAAAUCCAUUUUUGAUUCCGCUUCUGUUAGGGAUUGGGUCACUUAUAAUUCUAUGUUAUCUGGUUAUGUGGACGUGGAUGGAUAUGAACUAAAUGCCCUUGAAUUGUUUGUUGAAAUGCACAGCAAGAGUAAUGAUAUUGGUAUUGAUGAUUUUACUGUUACAAGUAUGGUUAAACUGUUUGCCAAGUUAUCUAAUUUGUGUUAUGGGAGGCCAUUGCAUUCAUAUAUGGUGAAAACUGGUAACGAUAGAAGCGGGUUUGUUGUGAGUUCUUUGAUUGACAUGUAUUCGAAAUGUGGGUGUUAUAAAGAGGCCUGCGGUAUCUUUAGAGGGUGUGAAAAAGAAGGUGGUAUUGCUUUGGUUUCAAAGAAUGCGAUGGUGGCAGCAUGUUGUAGAGAAGGGGAAAUGGAGAUGGCUUUGGGGUUGUUUUGGAGGGAAAAUGAGUUGAACGAUUCGGUUUCAUGGAAUACAUUGAUUUCUGGUUAUGUUCAAAAUGGUUAUCCACUGGAGGCAUUGAAGUUGUUUGUUUGUAUGGGGGAGAAUGGUGUUAAAUGGAAUGAGUACACUUUUGGUAGUGUUUUGAGUGCUUGUGCUGAUUUAAGGAACUUGAAGAUUGGUAAUGAAAUGCAUGCUUGGAUUUUGAAGAAUGGAUUGAGUUCUAGUGAUUUUGUAGAAAGUGGCAUUGUUGAUGUUUAUUGCAAGAGUGGGAAUAUGAAGUAUGCAGAGUCAUUCCAUUUGACAAGCGGGACUGGCAGUUCCUUUUCCAUCACUUCAAUGAUUGUGGGGUAUUCUUCACAAGGAAACAUGGUGGAAGCUUGUAGGCCUUUUGAUUUGUUGGAAGAGAAGAAUUCUAUCCCUUGGGCUGCAUUAUUUGGUGGUUAUGUCAAAUUGAAUCAAUGCGAAGCUAUUUUUGAACUUCUAUGCUUGUAUAUAGCCAAGGAAGCAGCAAUUCCUGAUGCUUUGAUCCUUGUCAGUGCACUUAGUGUGUGUGCAUUCCAAGCUGCGCUCGGUCCUGGGAAGCAAAUUCAUGGUUAUGUAUACAGAGUGGGGAUUGAAAUGGACAUCAAGAUGACUACUGCUAUGAUUGAUAUGUACUCAAAAUGUGGAAGUGUACCAUAUGCAGAAAAAAUGUUCCUGAAAGUUAUUGACAGAGAUUUAGUCCUUUACAAUGUAAUGAUAGCUGGUUACGCUCAUCAUGGGUAUGAGAUUAAAGCCAUAAAUCUGUUUCAGGAAAUGUUGGAGAGAGGAAUUGGACCAGAUGCUAUUACCUUUGUUGCCCUCCUGUCAGCUUGCCGUCACCGUGGGUUGGUAGAUUUGGGUGAACGAACUUUUUAUUCCAUGACAGAAGAUUAUCACAUACUGCCUGAUACUGAUCACUAUGCAUGCAUGAUUGAUCUUUAUGGAAGGGCUAGCCAGCUAGAAAAGAUGGUCCUAUUCAUGCAAAGAAUCCCUAUAGAAGAUCAAGAUGCUGCCGUGGUUGGGGCAUUUUUUAAUGCAUGUAGGCUAAAUAAGAACACAGAAUUAGCAAGAGAGGCAGAGGUGAAACUGUUAAAGAUUGAAGGUGAUAGUGGAGCUCGUGAUGUGCAGUUGGCUAAUGCUUAUGCAGCAGAAGGGAACUGGGCUGAGAUGGGUAGGAUUAGGAAGGAGAUGAGAGGAAAGGAGGCCAAGAAGUUUGCUGGUUGUAGUUGGGUAUACUUGGAUAAUGGAGUCCAUACUUUUAUCUCUGGUGACAGAACUCAUUCAAAAGCAGUGUGUAUCUAUUCAAUGCUGGACUUCUUGACAUCAGAACUAUAUGAAAUCGCUGGGGCAUUCUGUUUGAUAAUGUUUUGGAGGGUUGGCAUGACAACAUGGUUGAAAAGCUUGAACAGCCUGCAUUUAGGAUGGAGAGUUGGAAACUUGGGGUUGCCGCUGAUGUUAAGUGAUCACAUUGAAAUAUUCAAAAGCUAGUCUAUCGUGAGAGAACUUAUUGUCUACUACCAUGAGUUCUCACCUUUUCUCAUGAGAAGGAGCUCGGUGAUGCAAGAACUUCUACAGCACUAUAGCAUUAAAAAAAAAUUGACUUUAUUGGGAAAGAUGAGAAGAUCAUGUUCUGAUUCCAAUGUCCCUUUCUGGUAUGUGCAUAGAUUCAGAUUUCUUAUGUGAUGCUUUGUCCCUGCAUGCUGGGAAAGCAACUCCAUAUUGUAUUGGUCAAUGAAGUCUUACCAUUGGGUUCAUAUCAAUUUUUAUAGUCAUGUAUGAAUAUUUUGUACUACAAAUAACCUUUUUUCCGGAUACGAUACCAUUUAGGAGUUUUUUUUUUUUUUUGGUCAUUCUGAAACAGGUUAAUAGACUGGAGCUAUGAGGAGAACCAUUACUGAAGCCAAAGUGAACAUCCAGAUGGAGAUGCUACAAAGCAAGAUGUUCAGUGUAAUAGCAACCAUCACAACUGUUUUGUUACUAGGACUGGAAGUUCUUCCAAGCCAAAGGUCAAGUCUCCUAAGGAUUUGAACAGUACAUUUGGCUAUCCUUGUGUGGGUUUUGUAAGCUGAAAAUGUGGUCACAUGCAUCUUCAAGGAGCCAUGCUGCAGUUCUACCAUGGUUUCCUAAUGCUCCAGCAACACAACCUUGUUUUAUGAGAUUUUUAUUGAUAAAUCCUUUGAUUGGCCCCAAAAUUCUUUCGUUGGCUGAAGUACAUGCACCUCCAGAGGAUCUCGUCUUCCACAAAUUUUAUGUGAAUAAAAUGAAAACCUUUGAGAGCCAAAUAAGGCAGCUGAAGAAUUGUUUGAUGUGGAUGAUGACGAUGAAGUGGUUGGUGAUGAUGAGAACGAUAAUGAAGAGAUUGAUAAUAUGCUAGACCCUGCUGAUCUGUCUCUUGUAGCAGAAAAUGAGUAGGACUCAUGAUUUGAACCAAGCUAUGAAUGGAGAUGACGAAGACUUGCUUCGCAAUGUUGACAGUGCAGAGGUGGAUGCCCUCUCAGAUACUGCGGAAGGGGAAGAUUUUUUCACCGUUAAUGUAAGAGGUACGAUGACAUUGCGGAUGCGGAUUAUGGUUUCGGUGAGCAAAAAAAAUGAAAACGGAAGUCUAAGGGGAAGUUAGGCGCAUCCCCAUUUGCAAGCCUUGAGGAUUACGAGCACAUAUUAAAUGAAGAUGGUCCAACAAAAAACAAAGGAAAAGGGAAAGAUCGAACAAGUCUAAGUCAUGAAAGGACUCCUUAACAAUGCUGGUUUAUGUGCACUGUUUAGAGCCUUCAAAUUCAAAUAUUCUAAAAGAAAAUAUUAGAGAGUAGAAUUUGCUGUAUAUUAGUGAUUUUCCCCACCCGCUUGGAAACUGAUGCUAAGUUACAACUUACAAGCAAGGUCAUGCUUUUGGUCAGUAAAGCAGCAUAUGACCGAUUUGGCCGCAAUGGAUUAUUGAGAUUUGAGAAUGUAUAUGCAUAA